CGCGUGCGGAGCUACCAUGCAGUCGAGCGGUAACAAAUAGUACUUGCUACUUUGCUGACGAGCGGCGGACGGGUGAGUAAUGCUUGGGAACAUGCCUUGAGGUGGGGGACAACAGUUGGAAACGACUGCUAAUACCGCAUAAUGUCUACGGACCAAGGGGGGCUUCGGCUCUCGCCUUUAUAUUGGCCCAAGUGGGAUUAGCUAGUUGGUGAGGUAAUGGCUCACCAAGGCGACGAUCCCUAGCUGGUUUGAGAGGAUGAUCACCCACACUGGGACUGAGACACGGCCCACACUCCUACGGGAGGCAGCAGUGGGGAAUAUUGCACAAUGGGCGCAAGCCUGAUGCACCCAUGCCGCGUGUGUGAAAAAGGCCUUCGGGUUGUAAAGCACUUUCACUCAGGAGGAAAGGUUAGUAGUUAAUACCUGCUAGCUGUGACGUUACUGACAGAAGAAGCACCGGCUAACUCCGUGCCAGCAGCCGCGGUAAUACGGAGGGUGCGAGCGUUAAUCGGAAUUACUGGGCGUAAAGCGUACGCAGGCGGUUUGUUAAGCGAGAUGUGAAAGCCCCGGGCUCAACCUGGGAACUGCAUUUCGAACUGGCAAACUAGAGUGUGAUAGAGGGUGGUAGAAUUUCAGGUGUAGCGGUGAAAUGCGUAGAGAUCUGAAAGAAUACCGAUGGCGAAGGCAGCCACCUGGGUCAACACUGACGCUCAUGUACGAAAGCGUGGAGAGCAAACAGGAUUAGAUACUGUGGUACUCA
rnacentral:rRNA from 1 species